rnacentral:rRNA from 1 species
AGUCGAACGAUGACCCCCCGCUUGCGGGGGUGAUUAGUGGCGAACGGGUGAGUAACACGUGAGUAACCUGCCCUUGACUCUGGGAUAAGCCUGGGAAACCGGGUCUAAUACCGGAUAUGUACCCUUCACCGCAUGGUGGGGGGUGGAAAGCCUUGUGCGGUUUUGGAUGGACUCGCGGCCUAUCAGCUUGUUGGUGGGGUAAUGGCCCACCAAGGCGACGACGGGUAGCCGGCCUGAGAGGGUGACCGGCCACACUGGGACUGAGACACGGCCCAGACUCCUACGGGAGGCAGCAGUGGGGAAUAUUGCACAAUGGGCGCAAGCCUGAUGCAGCGACGCCGCGUGAGGGAUGACGGCCUUCGGGUUGUAAACCUCUUUCAGUAGGGAAGAAGCGAAAGUGACGGUACCUGCAGAAGAAGCGCCGGCUAACUACGUGCCAGCAGCCGCGGUAAUACGUAGGGCGCAAGCGUUAUCCGGAAUUAUUGGGCGUAAAGAGCUCGUAGGCGGUUUGUCGCGUCUGCCGUGAAAGUCCGGGGCUCAACCCCGGAUCUGCGGUGGGUACGGGCAGACUAGAGUGAUGUAGGGGAGACUGGAAUUCCUGGUGUAGCGGUGAAAUGCGCAGAUAUCAGGAGGAACACCGAUGGCGAAGGCAGGUCUCUGGGCAUUAACUGACGCUGAGGAGCGAAAGCAUGGGGAGCGAACAGGAUUAGAUACCCUGGUAGUCCAUGCCGUAAACGUUGGGCACUAGGUGUGGGGGACAUUCCACGUUUUCCGCGCCGUAGCUAACGCAUUAAGUGCCCCGCCUGGGGAGUACGGCCGCAAGGCUAAAACUC